CGCCACGUGGUCUAGCGGUCAGAACGCUGGCCUUGUAAUCCUGGGGUCUCGGGUUCGAUUCCCGGCGGUGCCC
rnacentral:tRNA from 1 species